CACGGCCCGGCUCCUCCCCCCCGAGCCUGGUCGUGGAGAAGACCCCCGCUCUCCCCCCCGGCGGGGGUCUUCACUU
rfam:Catenulispora acidiphila DSM 44928, complete genome.